rnacentral:rRNA from 1 species
UACAGAGGUCCCGAGCGUUGUUCGGAUUCAUUGGGCGUAAAGGGUGCGUAGGUGGCGCUGUAAGUGGGGUGUGAAAUCCCGGGGCUUAACUCCGGAACUGCAUUCCAUACUGCGGUGCUUUGAGGACUGGAGAGGAGACUGGAAUUUACGGUGUAGCAGUGAAAUGCGUAGAGAUCCGGAAGAACACCGGUGGCGAAGGCGGCCUGCUGGGCAGUAGCUGACACUGAGGCGCGACAGCGUGGGGAGCAAACAGG